UACGGAGGGUGCGAGCGUUGUCCGGAAUUAUUGGGCGUAAAGGGCGCGUAGGCGGCUUGGCAAGUGGAAGGUGAAAUCCCUCGGCUUAACCGAGGAACUGCCCUCCAAACUGCUUCGCUUGAGACCGGGAGAGGUGAGUGGAAUUCCCAGUGUAGCGGUGAAAUGCGUAGAUAUUGGGAGGAACACCAGUGGCGAAGGCGGCUCACUGGACCAGUACUGACGCUGAUGCGCGAAAGCGUGGGGAGCAAACGGG
rnacentral:rRNA from 1 species